rnacentral:rRNA from 1 species
UACGUAGGGGGCAAGCGUUGUCCGGAUUUAUUGGGCGUAAAGAGCGUGUAGGCGGCCAGACAGGUCCGUUGUGAAAACUCGAGGCUCAACCCGUCGAGAUGUCGAUGGAAACCGUCUGGCUAGAGUCCGGAAGAGGAGUGUGGAAUUCCGUGGUGAGGCGGUGAAAUGCGCAGAUAUCAGGAAGAACACCUAUGGCGAAGGCAGCACUCUGGGACGGUACUGACGCUGAGACGCGAAAGCUAGGGAGCAAACAGGG